GCUGCCAUAACUCAAUCGGAAGAGUGCGGGCCUUGUAAGUUCGAAGUAGGGGGAUCGAAACCCUCUGGUAGCA
rnacentral:tRNA from 1 species